rnacentral:rRNA from 1 species
UUGGAGGGCAAGUCUGGUGCCAGCAGCCGCGGUAAUUCCAGCUCCAAUAGCGUAUAUUAAAGUUGUUGCAGUUAAAAAGCUCGUAGUUGAAUUUCGGGGUUCUACCGCUGGUCGGGCUUUGUCUGUACUGGUGUGUAGAAUUUCUACCUUCUGGGGAACCAUCAUGCUAUUAAUUUAGCGUGGUGGGAAACCAGGACCUUUACCUUGAAAAAAUUAGUGUGUUCAAAGCAGGCUUAUGUCUGAAUACAUUAGCGUGGAAUAAUAGAAUAGGACGGUGGUCCUGUUUUGUUGGUUUCUGAAUCACCGUAAUGAUUAAUAGGGAUAGUUGGGGGCAUUAGUAUUCAAUUGUCAGAGGUGAAAUUCUUGGAUUUAUUGAAGACUAACUUCUGCGAAAGCAUUUGCCAAGGAUGUUUUCAUUAAUCAAGAACGAAAGUUAGGGGAUCGAAGACGAUCAGAUACCGUCGUAGUCUUAACCAUAAACUAUGCCGACUAGGGAUCGGACGAUGUUAAUUUUUCUUGACUCGUUCGGCGCCUUACGGGAAAC